rnacentral:lncRNA from 1 species
AUCCAGAGCUUAGAGAAAGGCUUCUCACGCUGUUUCCAGCAUGUGCUUUGUGGAGCACUGGAUGCAGGUCAGCUGCUUGCUGGUGCUCUUCUCCCAGCACACAGGAGAGGCUGUAAUGCAGGAUGGAUCCAGCCCCCACAGUAGGCAGAAGCGGGCACAGCAGAUGUGGUGGGCUGCCCUAGCUCCUGCAGAAGAUGUGUCACUGCAGCCACUGCAGCUGUGGUGCAGGCAAGUGUUGAGCUGCAACGGGAGGGAAAUUGCCAAAAACUCAUCUGAGAUCUUCAGCCAGGUGGUCCUGCACUGCACAGCUGGAACCGCUGCAAGAAAGACCUAUGUAUGUACAAAGCACGUGUUCUUUGGACAAUGCAUUAAUUCACUAAAAAGCGGACAGAUACAUUUCUUUUGGAUAGGUUUUUGGAUUUUCUGAUUUAGGGUAUUUGUGUUUUCUUUUGCUUCAUGUCUUUUUAAAGAAGUAAAUAGACUAAAAAUCAUAUAUGUUAAACAUGAUAGACCUGAGCUACUUUUUUCAGCUGGAACUGAAUAUAACAACAGUUUUAAAGCAGAAUGCUGUAUUUUGACCUGUUAAAAUUACAUGUAUCAUUUACAUGAAUCUGAAUUGGAGAAACUAUGUAUUUUAUUUAUAUAACCACUUUUUAUAAAAUCACCCAUAUGAACAGAAAUGUAUCUGUCAACGACGCAA